UAGACAUUACAGAUUAUGAGAUGAAAUCAAGUCUUCAAUCACUUAGGGUUCAUGAAAGCCUUGAUCCACCAUGAAAAUCUGAGUUCUCCAGCCUUCAAAACGUGUUCUUGUAGUGAAAAAUUGGUAAACCCAUGAAAAUAUGAGUUCUUCAGCCUCCAAAACGAGUUCUCCAGCCUUCAAAGCAUGUCAUACACGUAUU
rnacentral:lncRNA from 1 species